CUUUGGUGAUACUUCUGUGAUUCCAUCAACAGAAGUUACCCAGCAGCAGUCAUGCUUUCGUUUAGCUUGCUUCCUGAAAAACUUACUCCCAGAGGCACCUUGGAGAAGCUGCUGAUCUUGUCAAGAACUGUAGUGGUGUAAUGCAAGAAGGCAAGUCCUCAGGUAUGCAAUGCUCUCUCCAAGCCAAGCUGUGGAACCAUCUCUGUGGUUACCUUCCUUAUAGCCACUUGUCCUAGACUGAUGGCUCUAAAUUUGCUAGCAGAAAAUGGCCUGAGAGAAACAAUGGCGAUCGCUGAUGUUUAUCUUCCUACUUCACGUCUUGGUUUUCUAGAUCGCCAGCCUCGAACCAGCUGGAUCUGUAGAUCUCUAACACACUCAGGCUUCGUUAGCUCACACAUUAGUCAGUUGAAAUGUGCUCAGCAAAGUACUUUGUGUGUUGCCUGAUUUCCAAAGCCCUGACUUUGGUGGCCUGCUCAUCCCAGAAACAACAUCUUUACAACAGUGCUGAAUAUUUUGAAGAAUCAGAUCCUUUGCAACUGGUUUCGUUUCAAAAGCCACGAAAUGGACUACUUGCAAGCAACUCAGUUGUUGGUCUUUCUCCUCCCUGUUAUCCUGCUCACAGACAGGUCGGGUGCUACUGUGUCAAGUAAUCGAACCAUAAAUGAGAAAGUUUGUAAGCCUACUUUAAAGACUUUUACUGCGGGUUCUGCUGUUGACAAGGUGGAAAGAUCAACUGAAG